UACGUAGGCAGCAAGCGUUGUUCGGAGUUACUGGGCGUAAAGAGCUCGUAGGCGGUCUGUCGCGUCGGCUGUGAAAACCCCGGGGCUCAACCCCGGGCCUGCAGUCGAUACGGGCAGACUAGAGUGCGGUAGGGGAGACUGGAAUUCCUGGUGUAGCGGUGAAAUGCGCAGAUAUCAGGAGGAACACCGGUGGCGAAGGCGGGUCUCUGGGCCGUAACUGACGCUGAGGAGCGAAAGCGUGGGGAGCGAACAGG
rnacentral:rRNA from 1 species